rnacentral:rRNA from 1 species
GACAAACGCUGGCGGCGUGCAUAACACAUGCAAGUCGAACGAAGCAUUUAAAGCGGAGACUUCGGUCAAAGCUUUUUAUGACUUAGUGGCGGACGGGUGAGUAACACGUGAGUAACCUGCCUCUCAGUGGGGAAUAACACACCGAAAGGUGUGCUAAUACCGCAUAACGUAGUUUUACCGCAUGAUAGAACUACCAAAGAUUUAUCGCUGAGAGAUGGGCUCGCGUCCAAUUAGCUAGAUGGUGAGGUAACGGCUCACCAUGGCGACGAUUGGUAGCCGGACUGAGAGGUUGACCGGCCACAUUGGGACUGAGAUACGGCCCAGACUCCUACGGGAGGCAGCAGUCGGGAAUAUUGCGCAAUGGAGGAAACUCUGACGCAGUGACGCCGCGUGCAGGAAGAAGGAUGACGUAUUUCGGUAUGUAAACUUCUAUCAGCAAGGAGAUGAUGACGGUACUUGACUAAGAAGCCCCGG